GACGUGGGGGGCCAGCGUUGUUCGGAAUUACUAGGUGUAAAGGGUUCGUAGGCGGUGCGGCAAGUUGGGAGUGAAAUCUCUGGGCUUAACCCAGAGGCUGCUUCCAAAACUGCUGUGCUUGAGUGUGGGAGAGGCGCGUGGAAUUGCAGGUGUAGCGGUGAAAUGCGUAGAUAUCUGCAGGAACACCCGUGGCGAAAGCGGCGAGCUGGAUCACAACUGACGCUGAGGCGCGAAAGCUAGGGGAGCAAACAGG
rnacentral:rRNA from 1 species